ACAUGUGGACGCAGUCAGAAGAACUCACUAACAAGUUUUAAGUAGAGGAGUGAUGUGAUAUGAUUUGUCUUCUGAAAGGCUGGCUCUGCCCGCAGGUAUCAGCCAGAUGGGACAGGAUCAGACUGGAUGUGGCAAAAUCAGUGAGAUCGCUUGCACGACGUGGUGGCUCCAGUGACAAUGGGAGAAGUUGACGGGCAGAUCUGACACAUUUGAUACUUAGGAGGAAUACAGCUUGGCAAAAACACAUCCAAGGACACCACGUGUGAUUUCCUCCACGCUGAUUUUGGAAGCUGGAAUGUUUCUGCAUACGCGCAUCAGCAACAUCUAAGCCAACACUCCUCUGGGCCUGUUUCAAACAGCACAUUGAUAUGCCCUGAACUCUUCUCCGAGUGACCAAGGGCCCGCGUCCGUCCACCGCACUGUGAACAGCAGCGGGAAAGCCCUCGAGAACACAGAGGAAAUAGAUGCCAUGUUGUUUGGAAAUAUUUACAUUGGGAAGCCAUCACAUACGCAGAUUUUUUUUUUUUUUUCAUUUAAAGCCGUGUUUUUGCCCUUUAUCCAUAUUUUGGCUACGUUUGUUUUGUUUGGAUAGUGAAAGCAUGUGUCAUUGUCAGCUGUUGUUGUUUUAAAUGUCUUUUGGCUUUCUGCAACAGCAAUGUCAAUUACAACAGAAUUAAAGAUGAGGUCUAAGGAAACAGUAAUUUUUGUGUUUGCCGCGCAGAACAUUUAUAAAAAUUACUUUUACAGCAGCAUUAGUAAAAACUGGAGCAAAAAUACUAAAAAUAGAUGAAGAAAAAAAAUACAAAGAACCUGGAAAAAAGAAAAGCAUUUCUGUUAAAUAUUUAUUGUUAUUUCGAGAGAGCUUAGGCAUACGUGUUUUUUUUUUCUCACGUGGAUGUCAUAUUCAUAUUGCUCCUGUUUUAGUCUUAACUGUAUUCUUUAUGGUUGUCUUUUCUGCUUAAAUGCAGAGUUGUUCAGAUUGUUAUUUCUGUGUAAGAUGUUACCCAAUGGGGAGGGUUGAGAAAAAAUAAAAUGGUUUUCUUCAGCCAUUUAAUAUCGGGACUAUAAAUGACCUCUUCUACUUGUUCACUAAUAAACAGAAUGGUGAGGAUCCCAAGAAAAACAAAAUAAUCUGCUUGGUGAUCUUGGGGUACCCAUCACGAAGGUCGAUAUUUGUAGACGUGUCCUCCAGGCAUCAUCAUGAUCAUGUAUUUCAGGCAUGUUUCCUCACCACGACUCAAUGUAAUUGUUGACUUUCAGAGAGAUUUUCUUCAGACAACGGGGGUAUGUUGGUGGCAGACACAAAGCUGGAACUUACUGACCCUAGGAGCUUUGAGAACAUUCUGCAAUUUACUGGCCACAGCACAGAAUUUUUUCUUCAGUACUACUUGGCUGACCGGAGUUCAAUGUCUCCUCUAGCUGAGUUCCAAAUGCUUUUCAAAGUAGUGGGAAGGUUAUACCUCUGAGCACAGUCAAGAUAUUUAAGGUGAAACUUGUGUUUAUGUGUUGUUCGUAUUUGUACAUAUGUGUAUAUGAGCGUGCAUAUGUGUUUAUGUACAUGAGUGUUUGUGUUAAGAAGAGGUUGAAGAAUUCCUUCUAGAAUGCAAAUAUUUUUUAUUUAACAUUACUUCUCAACAGAAUAAUGGAAUGAUUCAUUUUAAGUACUCAUAAGAGGAGAAUGUGUUUGCAUAUAUAGACUAUGCAAAAAUAUAUGUAGGAGACUAUAAUAAAAUGCAUUUAAAGAAAUUUUUUAAUGCUUUAUUUUUGAGACAGAGAGGGAUAGAGCAUGAACAGGGAAGGGGCAGAGAGAGAGGGAGACACAAACUCCAAUGCAGGCUCCAGGCUCUGAGCUGUCUGCACAGAGCCUGACGCAGGGGCUCGACGCAGGGCUCGAACUCAGGAACCGCGAGAUCGUGACCUGAGCCAAAGUCGGACGCUU